rnacentral:rRNA from 1 species
GACGAACGCUGGCGGCGUGCUUAACACAUGCAAGUCGAACGGAAAGGCCCUGCUUUUGUGGGGUGCUCGAGUGGCGAACGGGUGAGUAACACGUGAGUAACCUGCCCUUGACUUUGGGAUAACUUCAGGAAACUGGGGCUAAUACCGGAUAGGAGCUCCUGCUGCAUGGUGGGGGUUGGAAAGUUUCGGCGGUUGGGGAUGGACUCGCGGCUUAUCAGCUUGUUGGUGGGGUAGUGGCUUACCAAGGCUUUGACGGGUAGCCGGCCUGAGAGGGUGACCGGACACAUUGGGACUGAGAUAAGGCCCAGACUCCUACGGGAGGCAGCAGUGGGGAAUAUUGCACAAUGGGCGGAAGCCUGAUGCAGCAACGCCGCGUGCGGGAUGACGGCCUUCGGGUUGUAAACCGCUUUCGCCUGUGACGAAGCGUGAGUGACGGUAAUGGGUAAAGAAGCACCGGCUAACUACGUG